rnacentral:tRNA from 1 species
GCCCUGUUAGCCCAGCGGAUAGAGCGUCUGCCUCCGGAGCAGAAGGUCGCAGGUUCGAGUCCUGCACAGGGCACCA